rnacentral:misc_RNA from 1 species
AAAUGUGAAUUCCUUUGUAUAAUCUUUUAUCGUUAAAUAUUUUAAGAAAAUCUAUUCAAAUAAUUGCACGCGCAUUAUCGAAAAAUCCAGCAAAUGGAAAUUGAAGUUAUAAACUAUACCGGUGUUAAAUGUUUAACAUUGACAAAAAUUAAUCUCAAUCGCAAUUACUUUUUCUUAUUGCAACAUCGUUUCUAUCGUCUCUUUCUCGUCAAUUCGCACACUUUUAACAUCGUAUUUCUAAAUUUAUCAGGCGCCAAGCUUUCUCAAAUCGAACAAUUUUUAAUAUUUUAAUAACAACAAUCUCUCAUGAUUACUAUUUUAUAUGUUCAUCGCGAUUCUUGAAAAAAAAAGUCCAAGGUCGCGAAUAACACCAAUCAAUAUGCGAAACGAUUCUUUAUGUCUUUGAAACGGAAUAGGAAGUUACGUAUACACAUAUAUUAAAAUUUAUUUUUAUUUACUUAUUGCAGUAUCACGUAGUAUAUUAGUAUUACGUCUUUACGUAUUCUAUACCACUGCAUUGGAAGCAAAUUAUUUUCUUAUAGCAAUUGUUGCGUUCGUGCAUUAGAUUAAAAUAUGAAAUAUAAAAUGACUUAAUAAAAAUAUGCGAAUAAAAUAAAGAUUGUU